GGUGUACAGGCUUCAUUGGGUUUGUGACAGCUACAUCAAGGUACUGGCCCACAACACACAGGACUGAUUUCCUAUAAUCGUGAAUAUGCUAGAGGUGAAGGAGGUUCAUUUCAUGGAUUGAAAAAGAGGCUUACUGGACAGAAUGCAGACGAGAGCCCAACAGUCUCUGCUUGCAAUUGCAUUGGAGCUGACUUCCACAAGAUGGAAUUUCCAUUCUCGGGUUUCCAUUUGAGAUUUACCUUCAUAGCAGAGACAAGCAAAUAUAUUCUCCUUUUGUGCCAACAGCAUAAAUCUACAGAAAAUUAAAUUCUUGGGAAGAAUAACACUGACCUUCAAUAACUCUGCUAACCAAAUUCUUGAGCUGUGGUGGGAGUCAUCUGUGGUAACUCGGUCUGAAUAAUG
rnacentral:lncRNA from 1 species